UACAAUUCAAAAUAUUUCAAGAUCUCUGCUUUCUGUGUAAGCUGAGUAGAAUCUCUUCGGGAUCCUCUGAACAGAAUCAUAUUCUUUGACAUAUUCAUAUAUUUUCUUAUUGUAGAGAUUUUGCAAAAUUCCCAUUUGUGACUAUCAACUUACCAAAGGGUGAAUGUUUAAGUUUCUUCUGUAACUCAUAAUACAUGCUAAAUCUAUUUUUCUCCAUAAUUUUAGUUCUUGGGUUAUGUUGGUCAAGCAAAGAACAUAGGAUUUUUAAGAAUUGGAAAUGAAAUAUGACAGUGGCCUGUCACAUGGACUCUGGUAAAACGCAUUGCUUCUUCUGUAAUGUGAGAAUGACUUCAUAUGGGAUUCUCGCCUACAAAUAUCAGGACUAUUUUUCCCCGUCUGCAGAUAACACAUCAACAUUGAUAUUUUUAUUUCCUGGGAGACUUUAAUGAAAAGUGAAAAAAAAAAUGUUCUUGUUUGAACAAUAAGUACACAUUACUCCAGCUGGGACCAUCUGGGGAGACAAAGUGGGUCAGCACAGUGUCUCAUCAGCAUUUCUUUUCUCUUGCAAAUCCACCUGACUGUGCUGCAAAGAAAACAAUUAGAUGAGUCCUUUGCUUCACAAAUGCCAUUCCUAAGAUGACUGUUUCAUUCCAUGGCCUAGUUAAGUUCUAUUUUGAAAUUCAAUAUCACCUUCCUCAAACCUCUUUCAGAGGACUAUUUUAUUGAUGAUAAAUUUUUUUCCAGAAGGUAAUGUAUAAUGAAGAAAUAAUGUUUAGAAUCAGGCACAUCUAGAUUUUAAUCUGCUUUGAUGCUGUGAUUUGAAACUGAUCUCCAAAUUUCAGGUUGGAAAGGAACUAACAGUUAUGCCCAGUAUUUAAGACCGCCCCCCCCCAGGGAAACCACCAAGGAGCUUACUCCCUGAAUGCAAGCACAAGAUAUCUUUAUUGAAUUCAAGCCUAGGCAGGGACCUUGUCCCCCAGACUGACACAGCAGCUGCAGGACAAGGCCAGAGCCUCAUAAGCAAGAGGGUUUUAAAGGCAAAGAUCACAGAAAAGGAAUAGGGGUACAGGUUCAAAGUUGAUUGGUUGCAGAGUCCAUGGGAAU
rnacentral:lncRNA from 1 species